CCUGCCACAUGUCAUGCAGUGCUUAUUUCUUCGGCAGGUUUUAUAUUCUCUGGUGUCAUUCAGCAAUUUCAUGAGAGCGAGACAAUGGAUUGAGAAGCAAUAAAGGAAAUUCUUCCCGUUCUUUAAGGGGCCUUCGGGGAUUCCAAGAACGACUUCUCAGAAGCCAUAUUUACACCCGACCCAAGAAGGAAAGGCCUGCAGUGUCUAAGGUAGUUACAAAACGUCUGUGUGAUUACAGUGAGAUAAGGAAACCAGGACCCAUGGAGGUCAAGGUCUAUGGACUGUGGUUUUGUGUGUCUUCCUUUCUCUGUGAUGACCCCACAGGAACCGAUUCCAACAAAGUUAGCUGCAGAUUCAUCUCCCACUUUGCUUAUGAUGAAAAGAUUGUUUGAACCUUCUUACCAGGCUCUGGAAUAUUAUUCCAUGAAGAAACUGAAGCCCAUAAAGAUUAUGCAAGGUUCCCAUGGCCACACAUUCAAUGCAAGAGUCAGAAGUUGAACCCAAGUAUCCCAAGGCAAGAGC